GCUAAAUGGAAUCUGAAAAGCGAAGAGUUGGAUGCGAAAAAAAAAGCGAUUUGGGACGAGCUUCAGAGGACUUUUGAGAUACCAGAUGAUCGUAGACGCUACAUACUUAGUUUGGCCGGCAAAAGAUAUAGAGGGUGGAAAGCUUUUUUGACAAACACCUAUCUUAAGGAUAAAGAUGGAAACUUUCUUGAAGAGGCACCGGGACGGCCAAAAAAGUAUGAGAUCUUCAUUGAUGAAAAAGAUUGGGCUGAGUUUGUAAAGCAAAGAGAUGAAGAUUUUCGGAAAAGGAGUGCCACGAAUAGUGCGAGAGCAUCCAAACCCGCGUAUCCAUACAAAAAAGGGCGUUUGGGAUAUGCACGCUUAGAGGAUAAAAUUUUAGAGGAGACUAAAAGUGAGGAAACUUCACUUCCUGUACAUGUGUUGUGGAAGGAAGCUCGUGUGGGCAAGAAUCAAGCUGUCGAUCCCGAUGUUCAGAGAGUUUAUACUGAAUGUG